GCAGCAGAAAGACUCAGCAGGAGCCUUCCACACCACUGGUCUCCUCCCCCAGAAAAACCCUGCUUUGAGGUCUCAGGUGGCCAACACAAAGCUCCUUUCCUCAAAUUUAAUAAUGGAUGUGGGUUUUGGCACGGAUUGGAUACACACUAAGAAGAAACCAUGACUGUGAAUGCUUUGAAGUAGUACAGAAAGUACUCUCCUGUCAAUGACAAACUUGAGGAAAAUUUUAAGUACUCCUACAUAGUGUCUGAAAUGUUCUCAAAAUAAAAAAAAAAACUCUUCUGGCAA